GAGUUUGAUCCUGGCUCAGGAUUAACGCUGGCGGCAUGCCUAAUACAUGCAAGUCGAACGGAGUAGCAAUACUUAGUGGCGAACGGGUGAGUAACACGUAUCUAAUCUACCAUUUAGUGGGGAAUAACUGUUGGAAACGACAGCUAAUACCGCAUAAUAUUGCUGGAUAAUUUCCAGUAAUGAAAGGAGCUUUCAAGCUCCGCUGAUUGAUGAGGAUGCGGCGCAUUAGCUAGUUGGUAGGGUAAUGGCCUACCAAGGCAAUGAUGCGUAGCCGAUCUGAGAGGAUGAACGGCCACAUUGGGACUGAGACACGGCCCAAACUUCUACGGAAGGCAGCAGUAGGGAAUUUUUCACAAUGGGCGAAAGCCUGAUGGAGCAAUGCCGCGUGACUGAUGAAGGUCUUCGGAUUGUAAAGGUCUGUUGUAAGGGAAGAAACGGUAAAACAGGAAAUGGUUUUAUCUAUGACGGUACCUUACCAGAAAGCCACGGCUAACUAUGUGCCAGUAGCCGCGGUAAUACAUAGGUGGCAAGCGUUAUCCGGAUUUAUUGGGCGUAAAGGGUGCGUAGACGGUUUUGCAAGUCUGAGGUUAAAUUUAGGAGCUCAACUCCUAAUCGCCUUGGAAACUACAAGACUAGAGUAUAGGAGAGGUUAGUGGAAUUCCAUGUGUAGCGGUGGAAUGUGUAGAUA
rnacentral:rRNA from 1 species